CCUACGGGUGGCAGCAGUGAGGAAUAUUGGUCAAUGGACGAGAGUCUGAACCAGCCAAGUAGCGUGAAGGAUGACUGCCCUAUGGGUUGUAAACUUCUUUUAUAUGGGAAUAAAAUGUUCCACGUGUGGGAUGUUGUAUGUACCAUAUGAAUAAGGAUCGGCUAACUCCGUGCCAGCAGCCGCGGUAAUCAGGAGGGUGCAAGCGUUGUCCGGAAUCAUUGGGCGUAAAGGGUUCGUAGGUGGCAUAUUAAGUCUGGUGUUAAAUGCAGAAGCUCAACUUCUGUUCGGCACUGGAUACUGGUAAGCUAGAGUGCGGUAGAGGUAAAGGGAAUGCCUGGUGUAGCGGUGAAAUGCGUAGAUAUCAGGAGGAACACCGGUGGCGAAAGCGCUUUACUGGGCCGUAAUUGACGCUGAGGAACGAAAGCCUGGGUAGCAAAUGGGAUUAGAUACCCUUGUAGUC
rnacentral:rRNA from 1 species